AUUGAACGCUGGCGGCAGGCCUAACACAUGCAAGUCGAGCGGAUGACGGGAGCUUGCUCCUUGAUUCAGCGGCGGACGGGUGAGUAAUGCCUAGGAAUCUGCCUGGUAGUGGGGGACGACGUUUCGAAAGGAACGCUAAUACCGCAUACGUCCUACGGGAGAAAGCAGGGGACCUUCGGGCCUUGCGCUAUCAGAUGAGCCUAGGUCGGAUUAGCUUGUUGGUGAGGUAAUGGCUCACCAAGGCGACGAUCCGUAACUGGUCUGAGAGGAUGGUACGUCACACUGGAACUGAGACACGGUCCAGACUCCUACGGGAGGCAGCAGUGGGGAAUAUUGGACAAUGGGCGAAAGCCUGAUCCAGCCAUGCCGCGUGUGUGAAGAAGGUCUUCGGAUUGUAAAGCACUUUAAGUUGGGAGGAAGGGUUGUAGAUUAAUACUCUGCAAUUUUGACGUUACCGACAGAAUAAGCACCGGCUAACUCUGUGCCAGCCGCCGCAGUAA
rnacentral:rRNA from 1 species